rnacentral:lncRNA from 1 species
AAAACUCAUCGUCCACCCUUUUUCUUCGAUCAAAAACGAAGCCUCCAAACUGACUUCCCGAUACAACACACAUCGAUAUCACCAAGCAGUCAUGGAUCAACUAGAACAAAAUCAAGCAGUGCUCUAAGAAGAGGUGUCUCAAGUGAGGUCCCAAAUGUGGCAGUUCAUGGAAACAAUACAAGUAGUCGCUAGAGGCCAUGAAAUCAUGGCUAAAAUGCAAGAGGAAAUGAAUCACCAUGCUCACGCUGCUAAUCCUCCUCCUAAUCCUCUUGUCAUAGAGAC